rnacentral:rRNA from 1 species
AACGUAGGAGGCGAGCGUUAUCCGGAUUUACUGGGCGUAAAGCGCGCGUAGGCGGCUGGUCAAGUCGGAUGUGAAAGCCCCUGGCUCAACUGGGGGAGGCCAUUCGAUACUGAUCGGCUUGAGGGUGAGAGAGGAAAGUGGAAUUCCCGGUGUAGCGGUGGAAUGCGUAGAGAUCGGGAGGAACACCAGUGGCGAAAGCGGCUUUCUGGCUCACCCCUGACGCUGAGAGCGCGACAGCGUGGGGAGCAAACGGG